AAAGCUCGAUCGAUGAAUUCAGAUUCAUUAAUGUCCCCAAAAAAAGAGUUGACUUCUUUUUAAGUAAAAGCAUUUAUUUUGUCCUAACUUCUUUUCCAACUUGUGAUACAGAAAGAGAUCUGAAAGUGUGAGGAAAAUUUUUGAUCAUAUCGAAAGGGAGGAAGCGAGGAAGAGGCAGGAAAAAAAUGGAUCAGAACAAAAGCGCAUUUCUGAUUGGAAUUAUAGGUGCGGUACUCACUCUUUCUGCUUAUUCCCAGACUCUGGUUUCUCCUACUCAAUGCAUCACAAUUGGACUACUUGUUCUGAUCUUCGGCCUCCUUGUUAGGGAAGGUCUCAUCUCUCUUUAAUUAAUUAUCUUUACUUUCAUGUUUCCUGACCUUAUAUUUGGACUAAUAUUACUUAAUUUUUCUACCGAGAAUCGAGUAAUUCUCUUUUAUUUAGAGCAUGUUUGAUACAUUCGAUUGUAUAUAAGUUAUUUGUCUAUUUCUUAUUCAGCUACGCCCAUGCCUUGAUGUUUUGGAAUGAAUUGUGCUUGGUGUACAUAAGGGUGUCCAUAAAUUUACAUGAGAGUUGGGUCCACUCGAGUGGGCCCCACGUGGGA
rnacentral:lncRNA from 1 species